rnacentral:misc_RNA from 1 species
AAAAACAAGAAGUUUUUGUAGGGGAAGGAGGGAUCAGAAAUUGUUAGGAUUAACAACAGAAGUAGAGAAUAUAGACUAUAGAGAGAGGAAUGAUAGAUUCAUGAGAAUUGUGAGAGGGAAUGAUGAAAUAGAAUUACAUGAUACAAUGUUCAUGAUCAUCAAUACCUCAUGAUCAUGAAAGCCAAGAAGCGGGUUUUUGUAUUUGACAAGUUGGAGCUUAG